CAUAACAUUUCCAGUAUAUAUUCCAGCAUUUCUGUUGUCAGCUUUGCAGUGUGUGGUUACAGGGUAAGGUAGUCCAGAUAUUCCAGGACUAAAGAUCUAAGAUAAUACAUCUGGAACUUUCAACACACCGUACUCUUUUUAUACUACCCCCAGGACAUCCAAAAGUACACUGAUUUUGCUAGAAUUUGGUGAUAAUUUUAAAAGCUGUGGUUGAAGAUCGUGUUAUUUCUGGAAAUAGGCUAGAGAUACCUGGAAAAAUCUGCAGUAAUUUCAUAUAAUUACUACUUUACUUAAGAUCACCUCAUUAUAUUUAUGGGAUGAGUCUGAAUAUUUACAGUGAGAUACUUUAAACCUGUGUGCCCCUAGGAAUGAAGGUUCCUUAAUCAAAAAAAGGGGCUUGUAUGUAUACUAAAGUACUAAGUGCAUUCUAGUAAGAAAGAAUUCUUUUAUUGUUAACAGGAUACUUUAAUAUGCUUUUUGUAUUUGUUUGACUACUAUAGAUAUCUUAUACUCUGAGAACAAACUUCUACUCAGAUGAGUUCAACGAGGUUCUGCAACAUCUUCAAAGUUCUCCUUUUGCUUGCUAUCCCAUAUAUUCAGCUCCACAGACUUCGGAAUCAAAUUAUGACUACUUCUAACUGUGUGCUGUGUAGUGUAGUCAAUGAAUAGUGUCAUCUCUAUGUUCACUACAAUUUGGCUGUCAUCAAGUAUUUACUCCACUG